ensembl:lncRNA
AGCUCCUCCAGCCCUCACAUGCCACCCCAAAGCAUUGUACAGACCCACAGAGAGUGAGGAGAAGCAACAAGAUUUCCCUAUUAACGUGACUCUCAUCACACAAAAGUGCAAACCCUCAGGGGUGAUCCAGGUUCUGGGCUGCACUUUGUUUUUUUUUGCUUGUAGAUAUCUCGGGCUCCAUCCCCAGAAACACACAGAAAGGAUAACAGUUAAAUACUUCAUAGCAAUGAAGCACUUUCCAGCCUGGAAUUGGCUCUCACUCCUGGCCAGCAGUGUAUGAGCACAAGGACUACAGGGCGCUCCAAGAAGUCAGUCAUGAAAAGGUUGCAGCCCGAAGCUGGAGCUGACGGAUGAGUCACAGAGAGCCCCCUCUCCUGAUUUGUACUGCCAAGAACUUUGGGAACAAGGAAGCAGAGCAGUUUUUGGACUGAUGCAGCCGCUCCUGCUGGGGCUGUGCAGCAAUAAAUUACCUGCCCUCUCCCCUCCUCUUCCCCCCGGUGGCUCUGGCACCUGUGUGCUAUGAUUAAUGCAGGCAUUGCAGGUAAUAUUGAGUGCGUUGGAAGGUUUCCAUGAGCCAAAGGCUAUUGGGGCCAUUUCACGGGCUGGAAUGAAGGCCGUUAGGGAAAAUGUGGGCAUUGCAAUUUCAUAAAAUGCAUGAAGAGCUCUAGGGGCAGG